UGGGGGAUUUUGCACAAUGGGCGCAAGCCUGAUGCAGCGACGCCGCGUGAGGGAUGAAGGCCUUCGGGUUGUAAACCUCUUUCGCUGGGUUGAAAGGCCAUGCUUUGGGCGUGGUUGAUUUGAACUGGUAAAGAAGUACCGGCUAACUACGUGCCAGCAGCCGCGGUAAUACGUAGGGUACUAGCGUUGUCCGGAAUUAUUGGGCGUAAAGGGCUUGUAGGUGGUUUGUCGCGUCUGUCGUGAAAUCCUGUGGCUUAACCAUGGGCUUGCGGUGGGUACGGGCAGGCUUGAGUGCGGUAGGAGGGACUGGGAUUCCUGGUGUAGCGGUGAAAUGCGCAGAUAUCAGGAGGAACACCGGUGGCGAAGGCGGGUCUCGGGGCCGUUACUGACACUAAGGAGCGAAAGCGUGGGGAGCGAACAGG
rnacentral:rRNA from 1 species